ACAAAAUAGCACACAUUUGGUUGACAUUUUGACAAUAUAUCAUUUUUUGGUUUUAUAGCCUAUUUUAUCAAAAUGGUCCACAUGUCAUUUUUCCCUGCCUCACAUUGCCCCCGCCUCAUUCAUGCUAGAUCGAUUGGAUUCAGAUGCUGGCUGGCUACGGCUUACACAGGAACAAGAUACAAACCAGACAGAACUGCUCGACGUGAUUGCCGCCGGCUUCGCACGAGAUCGCGCCGCGCCUCCGCAAGGGUGAGCAAAGGUUGUGAUCGUCCCUGUUGCCGCUGCAGGAGUUUUGAUCGCCGCCGUCGCCUUCGCCUCCGUAGGCUAUCGCACCGUUUCCGGCGCCGCACUCACGUGAUUGCCAUCGCCUCUGAGUGCAGCCUGAUGACAACAGCGUGCAUGGAGCCAGCGGCAAAUCGAUCGAAAUCUCUAGAAGUUCUCGCUGCUCCUGAUGGAUUAGAAGUUCUAGCUGCUCCUGACGGGUUAGAAGUUGAAGCUCCUGAUGGGUUAGUAUUUUCACGUACCUACAAGUAUUCAGAAAUUUGAUCCCAACAUUCAAUCUCCACACGGCAGCAGAAACCUACAGGGCUUCGAAUCAUCGAACUGCAAAAAUCAAUAUCACACAGCAGCAGAGCCUCUUGCAGCAGGGGACUCAGGCGGGCGCCCGACGGCGGCGGGCGCGGAGGGGAUCAGGCGCGCUUGCGGACGGCUCAGACGGGCGCCCGACAACGCUCAGCGGUCCGGUAAACGGCGGCCGUUAUUCUCUCUCCUUCUCCUCUUCUCUGGAAGCUGUACUGCUGUAGGAAAGUCUCAAGCUGUAGCAGCUUCUGAAUCCAAUCGAUCUAGCGUGAAGGGGUUGUGAGGCUGGAAAAAAUGACAUGUGGGACCAGGUCUAGAAAAUGGGCUAAAACAUAAAAAAAUGUUAUUUUGUCGACCUUAAGGAAAUGUGUGUUAUUUUGUCUAACAAAAAGAAAACGUGUGUUUAGAGCAACGCACGAAGAAAGACGUGGCAUUUUGUCAAA